CUCGUGUCAUACGACUGACGGAAGUGGAGUUUACCACAGGGAGUAUUGAUUGUUGAAGAGCCGACCGUCUGGGCCACCCCC
rnacentral:ncRNA from 1 species